CAGAGAACCUCGCCCUUCUGGGUGACUCUCCAACCCUAUGUUAUAUUUACCUUUGUUGCUUUGGCGAGCCGCCUCGGCCACUGGCUUCACGCUGGUGUGUGCUCGCCAGAGGACCUCAAACUCUUAAUUUUAUUGUCGUCUGAGAAUUAUUAAAUAGUUA
rnacentral:misc_RNA from 1 species